rnacentral:snoRNA from 1 species
GUGCUCACUAAAAACUUAAGUCCCUUCCAUGUGGUUGUGACAGCCAGUAAGUGAGCUAGAUAAUUAGUACUGGAUUGGGGGUGUCAUAUACCAGCUCAUAUGAUACACCACAGUUUUCAGUACAACA